UACGUAGGUGGCAAGCGUUGUCCGGAAUUAUUGGGCGUAAAGCGCGCGCAGGCGGUUAUGUAAGUCUGAUGUUAAAGCCCGGGGCUCAACCUCGGGUCGCAUUGGAAACUGUGUAACUUGAGUGCAGAAGAGGAAAGUGGUAUUCCACGUGGAGCGGUGAAAUUCGUAGAUAUGUGGAGGAACACCAGUGGCGAAGGCGACUUUCUGGUCUGUAACUGACGCGGAGGCGCGAAAGCGUGGGGAGCAAACAGG
rnacentral:rRNA from 1 species